UCAAGCCCCCGGGCUUGGUGUUGGGGAUCGGCCGCCCUCCAGCGCGC
rnacentral:rRNA from 1 species